rnacentral:tRNA from 1 species
GGGGCUGUAGCUCAGUGGUAGAGUGCCCGCCUCUUCAUGUGUGAAGCUUUGGGUUCAAUCCUCAGCACCACA